UAGGGAAUCUUCCACAAUGGACGCAAGUCUGAUGGAGCAACGCCGCGUGAGUGAAGAAGGUUUUCGGACCGUAAAGCUCUGUUGUUGGUGAAGAAGGAUAGAGGUAGUAACUGGCCUUUAUUUGACGGUAAUCAACCAGAAAGUCACGGCUAACUACGUGCCAGCAGCCGCGGUAAUACGUAGGUGGCAAGCGUUGUCCGGAUUUAUUGGGCGUAAAGCGAGCGCAGGCGGAAGAAUAAGUCUGAUGUGAAAGCCCUCGGCUUAACCGAGGAAUUGCAUCGGAAACUGUUUUCUUGAGUGCAGAAGAGGAGAGUAGAACUCCAUGUGUAGCGGUGGAAUGCGUAGAUAUAUGGAAGAAUACCAGUGGCGAAGGCGGCUCUCUGGUCUGCAACCGACGCUGAGGCUCGAAAGCAUGGGUAGCGAACAGGAUUAGAUACCCUGGUAGUCCAUGCCGUAAACGAUGAGUGCUAAGUGUUGGGAGGCUUCCGCCUCUCAGUGCUGCAGCUAACGCAUUAAGCACUCCGCCUGGGGGAGUACGACCGCAAGGUUGAAAC
rnacentral:rRNA from 1 species